AAAAACUUGACCUGUCGCUAGACUUGCAUUCCUCACCAUUCAAAUUUUUCUAUCUUCUUCUUUUCACAGACAUCCAGGCCAGUACAUUGUCAACGACAUAAAAUUAGAAAAGAUUAUAAUAAUUAUUUUUAUUAAAUCGGCACAUAUGUUUUUCAUUGCAUCAUUAUUACCUUACACCAUACAUGUGUGUUGGUAUAUGGGAGUUGCAAUUUGCAUACAAGUCAUAUUGAGAAAUGUACCUAAUCACAUUUUGAUUAAUCUGCAUCACAUUCUUACACUCCACCCCACCAGAUUAACUGCCUAAGGCGUUUAUCAAACAUCACAUUCUACUUAAAAACAAAGUUCCACAUAAGUGAACAAAACAACAAGUGAAACUGACGCCAAAGACUUGACUUUCCAAUAAACUUCAUCCUACACCAUUCAAUUUAGAGUAAUAUGAAUAAUGAGGCGAGAGAAUAUCAGAGAAAUGGUUUUUGUGUCAUUCAUUAUCUUAAAUGGGGAUUCAACCAUCCUAUUUAUAUAAAGCAGACUAACAAGAGUCGAUAAUUCAUUAAAUUGGUAUUAUCUAACCUCAUUAGAUCCUAUUUUAUUAAGUAAUAAGUGGUCGAACAUUCUCUAACCUUUUUAAACAAACGGUUCUUCAAAAGAAAAGGUGACCGGACUUCCUUUUGAGCCAUCACUUCUCUUGCUCCAUGGAAUAUGCACCAACUAGACUUGUAAUAUGACCUAGCUAGUCGAGCCCAUUCUCCUUCUCAAAGCCAACAAUCUUUUGUCGCUAGCGACAUUUUAGAGGUGGGUCAUGCAACUCCGAACCCAUCAUCCAUUUAAAACUGUCCAUAGCUCAGUGACACGAUCUAUAUCAAUACCGAACUGAUUUGUAAAUCGAGGUAGCAAACGAACAGAGUGAGAUAUGAUGGUUGUCACACUCAGUUUAUUGGAUGGGGCAAGGGGCACCCAAUCAAUUGCCAUCCAUCAUCGUUAAUUAAGUAGUUGGGCUUGUUACUACAGAUGAAAUUAGUAAAUUACAAUAUACAAGUCCUUAAGCUGUAAAAAUGAAAAGAACAAAGCUGAGGAAAAAUAACACGCCCCAGUGGGACUCGAACCACAAUCGCUUGAUUGUCAAGCACCUUAUCCAUUAGCACAUGGGCGCUUUGUCGUAGGUUGUGUUCACAAGAGUUAUAUUAAUAUUUUUUAUGUACAUUUACAUCAAAUACCACUCAACUUUAGUUUGUAGUCAUACUAACCACCAAACUAAGUUAUAUUCACCAAAUACCACUAAAUUAUAGUUUGAUUUCUUUAGUUACAAUUCCAUAAUUUUUUUAGGACGGAAUGCUCACUUGGCCUAACACAAUUAGCAUUUAGGUGAUGAGUUAUCUGUCAACUCAUAGUUUGAUCAAAACUCACAUUUCAAAUAUUUUCUAGAUUUUUCUACCUUGAGAAGGCUACGAAAAUAUAUUCAAUGAAUAAUCACUGACCAUUACGGUUCAAACAUAAUGAUACCAAAAGAAUCGAAGCAGUUUGUCAAGUUGGGAUUUUCAAAACAAUAAGUUGGCAGUUGACUCAUCUCCUAAAUAUUGGUUGUGUUUGGCCACGUUAGCAUUAUGUCGAAAAAAAAUUAUGGAAUGGUAACUAAAAAAAUUAUGGAAAUACAUUUUUUUAUGCUCGUUCCGCCACCGAUUGCAUAUAAUAUUCGAACUACAUAGAAACAACAACAAAUUGUGGAUGCAAUUUGGUUCGUACUCUAAGCCUAAAGCUUGUCAAUCAGUGGCAUGGAAUAAGGUUUCAUUUUGGGCUUAUUUGAUACGUUUCAUUGAGUUCUCUAUCUGUUUAAUUCCACAUAAGUGAACAAAGACUUGACUUCCUAGUAGACUUCAUUUCUCACCAUUCAAAUUUUUCUAUCUCUUCCCUCAUUUUUCCACUUGAAGAUUGAUCCACAUAUGCAGCAGCUCUUUAUAAACUGCCCAAACUCCAUGCUUCAUAUACAACACAUCUUACCCUGAGACUUUAGCCCCAUUCCCAUUUCCCCUUUUGCUCAUGGCUUCCUCAUUCAUCACUUGGUUCAUAUCUUCAUUUUCAUUCAUACCUUUUCUUCUCCUUUUGAUGGGCAGCGACCAUGUUCUUUUGGUCGCUGGCCGAUGCCGAGAAGACCAACAAUCCCUACUCCUACAGCUCAAACAUGGCCUCAAUUUAAGCUAUCCAUCAUUUUCAAGGGUGAUAUCAUGGAAUUCGAGUACGGAUUGCUGCGAGUGGCCUGGUAUAAGAUGUGAUCCUAGUGGCCUCGGUCAUGUUGUUGGACUUGACUUGAGUGAUUCAAUCACCGGAGGAGGUGGACGCGAUGAUUCCUCGGCUCUGUUUAGUCUCAAAUAUCUCGAGGAACUGGAUUUGUCGUACAACUACUUCAACACAACUAUUCCGGCUGCACUUGCCAACCUUACCAAUUUGAGGUAUCUGAACUUAUCAAAUGCCGGCUUCUUUGGGCAAAUUCCUACAGCCCUCUCUCAACUGUCAAGCUUGGUUAGUUUUCGUUUAUCAAAUUGGUUUGAGGGUCUACAACUUGAGAUUCCAAAUCCAACCCUACUCUUUCAAAAUCUCACCCAACUAACUGAGCUCCGACUUGAUGGCGUGGACUUAUCCACUCAAGAGAAGGAGUUGUUCCAUGUCUUGUCUUCUUCACUACCAAAUCUCAGAGUGUUGAGCUUGAUCAAAUGCAACCUUUCAGCCCCUAUUGAUCCCUCCCUUUCAAAACUUCAGUCUCUAACAAAACUUUACCUUGAUUACAACAAUUUCUCCUCUUUAAUCCCCGAUAUCAUCCAAGAUUUCAAAAACUUGACAGCCUUGAGAAUGUCAAAUUGUGGGCUUAGAGGAACAUUCCCAAAAAAGAUAGUCCAAAGCCUGACUCAACUAGAGUAUUUGGAUUUCUCAGAUAACCAAUUGGUGGGUAAUAUACCAUAUGCUCACUGGGAAAAUAUUCACAACCUUGUCCAAGUAGACCUUAGAAUAUAUAAAUCUUAACAAUAAUUCUUUUAACGGGUUCAUCCCACCAUCUUUAUUUUCCAUUCCAUCUUUGGAAUAUAUUGAUCUCUCCAAUAACCAGCUUCAAGGUCAAAUUCCAGAGUUUUCAGCUAAUACUUCUUCGACUCUGUAUUCUAUAAGCUUGAGUAACAAUUCUCUCAAUGGAAACAUCCCACCAUCUUUAUUUUCCAUUCCGUCAUUGAACGAUCUUGAUCUGUCCGAUAACCAACUAGUAGGUCCCAUCCCCCAUUCAAUUUUUGAACUUUUAUCAUUUAUUUUUGAACAUUCAUCACUUCAUUCCCUCUACCUUUCAUCUAAUAGAUUGAGUGGCAAGGUCCAGUUAAGUUGGUUUCAAACACUCCAAAAUCUCACUCGGCUUGAUCUUUCCUACAACAACCUAACAGUUGAUGCAACUAUCAAUAAAUCCUCUACGAGCUCGCCCAUCUUUCCUCAAUUAAGACAAUUGCAUCUUCCAUCGUGCAAUCUUAGAACAAUUCCCGAGUUGGGCAACCAACUAUUCUUUUCUACCUAGACCUUUCUGACAACAAUAUCUAUGGGGUAGUACCUCAUUGGAUUAUGAAUUCAACUACUCUAGACUAUCUCAAUCUUUCACACAACAACCUAGUAGGUUUUGAGGUCCAACAUUUUGCUUCUACUCCUCAAAUUUUGGACAUGCAUGACAACCAACUCCAAGGAAACUUUCCAUUCAUUCCAUUUCCAUUACCAUUAUUCGCCAUACAAUAUAUAGAUUUCUCCCACAAUCAUCUCAAUGGUUCCAUUCCAGCCCGAAUUUUCAACAAUCUUUAUUUGAACUUUCUUUCACUAUCAAAUAAUAGCUUCACAGGAACCAUUCCAACAAGUGUGUGUGAUGCUGUAAAUCUUGAAAUCAUUAAUCUUUCAAACAACCAUUUGAAUGGAACAAUCCCAUCUUGUCUCAUAAAAACCAUGAAAGAUCUCUCUGUCCUAGAUUUGAGUGGGAAUAUGUUUACUGGCAACAUACCAAACACAUUCCAUAUUUCAUGUGCUUUACAAAUUCUAAAUUUUCACAACAACCAAUUACAAGGAACAUUUCCGAAGUCCUUGGAGAAUUGCACGAAGUUGGAAGUUUUAGACAUCGGGAACAACAAAAUCGCAGGUCCUUUCCCUUGUCUUCAAGGAGAAAUCAAAUCUACUUUGCGUGUCCUAAUUCUUAGGAACAACCUCUUCCAUGGGAGCAUUCAGUGCUCGUAUGAUGAUCAAACUACUUGGCAACAACUCCAAAUUGUCGAUCUUGCUUCCAACAAUUUUUCGGGACCCUUAAAUGCCAAAUACUUAGAUUCAUUGAAAGUCAUGAUGGAAGAUGAAAAGGGUACAUACACAAGCCCUUAUCAAAUUUGGGGCCCCUAGAUCAUCAAGUGGCUAUUAUCAAGUUUCCAUAAUCGUGAUCAAGGAUACGGUUGAAUUGGAAUUUGUGAAGGUCUUGACCGCAUUCAAGUCAAUUGAUUUGUCACACAACAAUUUUGACGGACCAAUACCAGAAGUCAUCGGAAAAUUCAAAGCACUUCGGGUUCUCAACUUGUCUCAGAAUGGUUUAAUAAGUCAGAUCCCAUCGGCAUUUGGCAACUUGUCAAGUUUGGAGUCUCUAGACCUCUCUGAUAACAUGCUGAGUGGACAUAUACCAAAGGAACUAGCGGACUUGACGUUCCUUUCAUGCUUAAACCUAUCAAAUAACCAUUUAGUUGGCAGCAUCCCAACCGGCAGACAGUUCGAUACGUUCGAGAACACUUCGUAUGGAGGUAAUCCAAAACUGUGCGGGAAACCUUUGACUGGAUCUUGCACUUCACUACUUGAUCCGCCGGAUGUCAUUAUUAGACGUGGGAAAUCAAAUGGAGGAACCGACUGGGACAAGCUUAGCAAAGCAUUUGGAUAUUUGUUUGGCCUAACUGUUGUCAUGUUGCCAGCCGCGUUAUGGCCAAGUUUUCGAGUUUGGUUCUGGCCGAAGAUCGAUUCUCUAAUCCUUUGGAUGUUCCCGAAGCUAUAUGUAAAAGACUGGAAUAAUCGUCUUAGGAAAAGACGGAGCCAACGACGCACCAAGCAAACUGCGACAUGCCGGUAACCACCCCCGGAUCGAUGCUUUAUAUAUGACGUUCUAAAGCUUAAUUACCGAAUUAUAAGCAGCUCAACAUUAGUUCGAAAUUAUAAGCAGCUCAACAUUAUUAUUGUAACUAGUUUGUUGUAGAUUUUAAUUUAUUAUAUAUCAGAUGUACCUGUAUCUAUUGCUAUCCAAUCCAAUUCUUAUAAAGUAUAAUCAAACUCAUUUGCUUUCUCUCAAGAAUGAUAUCUUUUGGACACGGAGUGAUUGUCAUAUCGAUACUGUAACGUAAACAUUUCUCGACACGAGUCAUUCAGUAACGCAAAAAACAUUCGGGGAACGUUUUCUGUUGGAAAGCAUAUCUAAUGCUCUAGAUACUAACCCAUGUUUACGAAGGUUAGCUUGCACCGUAAGUAACCACAGUCGGACCACUAACAACGUCCAUCCUCCAUCUUUUCGAGCAAUCGAAGUCCGACACUACGCAUCUUGCAGAGGCCGUUGAUGACAGAAAUAUCCUGUCUUUUUUCGAAAAACUUCCACAAGAUGAGUAACGUUCCUCCAGUCUUUGUACAAUUUUUAUUAAGAUCUACAAUAUAGUUUCCUUUUCAUUUUUUUUAUUUUAUUAAUUUAUCAUUACAAAAUUAAAUCUACUACUUAAAUAAUUUAUUUUAUUUAUGUCCCUCCUAAUUCCAACAAUAUGAAACAAAGGCCAAGAGAACAAAGUAUAUUCAGAGAAAUGUAAACCCGUUGCAUCCUCCAUGUUUUGCUGGAUCGCCGAAGCAAAGCUUGACCGAAUCCACCUCGAAUAUUACGUUUCAUGAGCGAAACUAGGGGUGGUUGGGGUGAGUCACAUUUUGGUCUAGAACAUUUUAACUCAUAUGUUUAUUUUAAAUUUUCUCAAGUUCGGAUUAAAAUAAUUUUAAGUUUGGCUCAGUGUGUGGUCGUGUUAUAAUAAAAUUGAUUUUUUAAUUUUUUUUUUCAUUAUUUAUUAGGAUUAUCAUAGUAAAACUUGAUUUUUUUAACUAUUUCCAACAUGCAUGUCAAAUAUUAAUCUAUUUAACGAUUUUGAAAUUUUGUUAUGAAAAUGAUCAAAUUUUCUUAGUAUAACACAAGAAAAUUGACCAAUUUUGUCAAAAAUAUUAAAAAAAAUUAAAUUUAGUAAUAUCAAAUAUAUAUGUUAAAAAUAACUAAAAAUUAAAGUUUUACCAUAUUAUACUCUUAAAAUAAUAGAUUUCAGUUUGUCUGGAAUUAACAUAGAUUUCAGUGAUGGAAUUAAGGGUAGAGGAAUCUAGGCCACAACUCAGAGUACUGGGUUUCAAACUAUCAAAAUCAUAUGUAAACCAUUUUAAAUUGUUGUUUUUGCUUUGUGUAUUUUCAAAUUUUGGUUACGCACUGUGCUUUCAACUUAAAUUUCUGCCAAGAACUCCAACCAUCCUGAUUUUGUUAUAUGAACAUGGAUGGCACUGACUAGUGGUUCCUAUUCUUGCGGUGCAACUAUAGUAUCUAUUCAAAAACUAAUGUAUAAUUAAUAAUUAAUAUUUAUGGGAAAAUUCAGAGCACUCCAAGGUCUAAACUUAUCUCAUAAUGUUUUUAUUAGCCAGAUCCCAUCGCAUUCGGCAACUUAUCAAGUUUGGAAUCUCUAGAUGUCUCACAUAACAUGCUCAGUGGACAUAUACCAAAAGAACUAGCGGACUUAACAUUCCUCUCAUUCUUGAACCUCUCGGAUAAUCAUUUAAAAAGUAGCAUCCCAGUUGGCAGACAAUUACAAACAUUUGAGAACACUUCGUAUGGAGGUAACCCGAAAUUGUGUGGGAAACCUUUAGCUAGAUCAUGCACUUCUCUGUAUGUUUUGGAUCAAGAGGUCAAUGUUAGACAUGAGAAAUCAAUCAAUUGGGACUUUCUAAGCAAAACAUUCGGAUAUGUUUUCGGCUUAGCUACUAUCAUGUUACCAGCUGCAUUAUGGCAAAGUUUUCGAGUUCGGUACUGGCCGAAAAUCAAUUCUGUAAUCCUCUGGAUGUUCCCAAAGUUAAAUGUGAAAGACUGGAAUAAUCGUCUUAGGCAAAGGAGAAGGCCAAGACAUAGAAGACAAUGACAAGCUAGAAACCACCAUACCCAAUCUGUUCUUGUGCUUAAGUUAUGAUGCGUCUGUCUGUUGCUUAGCUAUCAAGUUAGUAGUAGACGGUAGUUAUCUGUGUUGUGACCUUAAACAGUUUAUGUAACAUAUGUAAGAUCAUGCAUACUUGUGUUUUUACCAUGACUCAACUGUCAAGCCGAUGUUCCAUACAUUUAAAGCAGAGACUAACAGAAGCUGAACAAGUCCAAAAAUCCAGUACUGAAUCACAAUUCUAACAAAAAAUCAAACACAAAACCAUCGAAUAAAAAUCAAUCGGAGACGAAGCUAAAUUCAGAUAAAGAAGGGCCUUUACCUAAAUUGCCCCUAAUGAUUGACAUAUAGUCAUGGCCCAUUUCUGCAUGAAUUGAUCGUCAGUAGCAUGGAAUGGAAGGUAUCAUUUUGGCUUCAUAGAUGCAGUUCUCUGUCACCAACUGCGGAGACAUUUAAGUUUAAUUCCACAUAAAUGAACAGAACAAUAAGUGGAUACAAGUUCAUUAGCUUCUUUGAUACUGCUUGCGAGGGAAGUGAUUAUCCGCACCCUUGAAACAUGAUAUAAAUAUGCAGAUAGUUUCAUUACCCCGAGACUAAUGACUAUGUUAGAGUAGUACCGGAUUUCCCCGUACCCGUAACAAUCAUAUGCAUUAACCGGAUUCUCGGACAGUCUUUUGGAUUGAUCCGCCGGUUACAUGAUAUUAAAUAUAAUACUAGAAGGACCUAUGUCGUCUCGAAUUUGUACGGACGAACAUGUACCUUUUUUAUCCAUGUGGUUUAGGUACCUCAUGGCUCGUUCUGCCCGAUUAGAUUCAUAAAUUUCUACUCCUAUUGAAAGUAAUUCGGUCAUAAGUUUGAAUGAGGAGGAUCAGUUAGAGUUUAAGAUUCGACUUUGCAAACGAAAGGGGAACAGAGAAAGAAGAUUAUACAUUCACCUCAUAAAAAUUGAAUAAGGAAGUUCGGAGUUUGAACCAUAAGAAUAUCAACAAUAUUAACCCUAAACCCUAUAAAAAUAUCAACUAUAUAAUUCAAUUUUAAACAAAAGAAACAGUUUAAUACUUGAGUUUCGCACAAUAAAAACAUAAUAGUUCUAGUUUAAUACUUUAAAGUUUCGCAUGAAAACAUAAUAGUUCUGCCACACCAUUAUGUACAACAAAAUGACGAAUUACGAUGAAAUUUCAUAUUCUUAAAAUAUUGUAGAGUCGAAAAAUCUGUUCUUAGAAAAAAAGAGUGAUUGUGAUUUANNNNNNNNNNNNNNNNNNNNNNNNNNNNNNNNNNNNNNNNNNNNNNNNNNNNNNNNNNNNNNNNNNNNNNNNNNNNNNNNNNNNNNNNNNNNNNNNNNNNNNNNNNNNNNNNNNNNNNNNNNNNNNNNNNNNNNNNNNNNNNNNNNNNNNNNNNNNNNNNNNNNNNNNNNNNNNNNNNNNNNNNNNNNNNNNNNNNNNNNNNNNNNNNNNNNNNNNNNNNNNNNNNNNNNNNNNNNNNNNNNNNNNNNNNNNNNNNNNNNNNNNNNNNNNNNNNNNNNNNNNNNNNNNNNNNNNNNNNNNNNNNNNNNNNNNNNNNNNNNNNNNNNNNNNNNNNNNNNNNNNNNNNNNNNNNNNNNNNNNNNNNNNNNNNNNNNNNNNNNNNNNNNNNNNNNNNNNNNNNNNNNNNNNNNNNNNNNNNNNNNNNNNNNNNNNNNNNNNNNNNNNNNNNNNNNNNNNNNNNNNNNNNNNNNNNNNNNNNNNNNNNNNNNNNNNNNNNNNNNNNNNNNNNNNNNNNNNNNNNNNNNNNNNNNNNNNNNNNNNNNNNNNNNNNNNNNNNNNNNNNNNNNNNNNNNNNNNNNNNNNNNUGUUGGUAUAUGGGAGUUGCAAUUUGCAUACAAGUCAUAUUGAGAAAUGUACCUAAUCACAUUUUGAUUAAUCUGCAUCACAUUCUUACACUCCACCCCACCAGAUUAACUGCCUAAGGCGUUUAUCAAACAUCACAUUCUACUUAAAAACAAAGUUCCACAUAAGUGAACAAAACAACAAGUGAAACUGACGCCAAAGACUUGACUUUCCAAUAAACUUCAUCCUACACCAUCCGAUUUGACUAACUAGAGUAGUAUGAAUAGUGAGGCGAUAGAAUAUCAGAGAAAUGGUUUUUGUAUCAUUCAUUAUCUUAAAUGGGGAUUUAACCAUCCUAUUUAUAUAAAACAGACUAACAAGAGUCGAUAAUUCAUUAAAUUGGUAUUAUCUAACCUCAUUAGAUCCUAUUUUAUUAAGUGAUAAGUGGUCGAAUAUUUUCUAACCUUUUUAAACAAACGGUUCUUCAAAAGAAGAGGUGAUCAGACUUCCCUUUGAGUCUGCACUUUUCCUGCUCCAUGAAACAUGCACCCACUAGACUUAUAAUAUCACCUAGCUAGUCGAGCCUAUUCUCCUUCUCGAGCCCGACGAUCUUUUGUUGCUAGUGACAUUUUGGAGGUGGGUCAUGCAAUUUCGAACCCAUCAUCCAUUUAAAACUGUCCAUAACUCAGUGACACGAUCUAUAUCAAUACCGAACUGAUUUGUGAAUCGAGGUAGCAAACGAACAGAGUGAGAUAUGAUGGUUUUCACACUCAGUUUAUUGGAUGGGGCAAGGGGCACCCAAUCAAUUGCCAUCCAUCAUCGUUAAUUAAGUAGUUGGGCUUGUUACUACAGAUGAAAUUAGUAAAUUACAAUAUACAAGUCCUUAAGCUGUAAAAAUGAAAAGAACAAAGCUGAGGAAAAAUAACACGCCCCAGUGGGACUCGAACCACAAUCGCUUGAUUGUCAAGCACCUUAUCCAUUAGCACAUGGGCGCUUUGUCGUAGGUUGUGUUCACAAGAGUUGUAUUACUAUUUUUUAUGUACAUUUACAUCAAAUACCACUCAACUUUAGUUUGUAGUCAUACUAACCACCAAACUAAGUUAUAUUCACCAAAUACUACUAAAUUAUAGUUUGAUUUCUUUAGUUACAAUUCCAUAAUUUUUUUAGGACGGAAUGCUCACUUGGCCUAACACAAUUAGCAUUUAGGUGAUGAGUUAUCUGUCAACUCAUAGUUUGAUCAAAACUCACAUUUCAAAUAUUUUCUAGAUUUUUCUACCUUGAGAAGGCUACGAAAAUAUAUUCAAUGAAUAAUCACUGACCAUUACGGUUCAAACAUAAUGAUACCAAAAGAAUCGAAGCAGUUUGUCAAGUUGGGAUUUUCAAAACAAUAAGUUGGCAGUUGACUCAUCUCCUAAAUAUUGGUUGUGUUUGGCCACGUUAGCAUUAUGUCGAAAAAAAAUUAUGGAAUGGUAACUAAAAAAAUUAUGGAAAUACAUUUUUUUAUGCUCGUUCCGCCACCGAUUGCAUAUAAUAUUCGAACUACAUAGAAACAACAACAAAUUGUGGAUGCAAUUUGGUUCGUACUCUAAGCCUAAAGCUUGUCAAUCAGUGGCAUGGAAUAAGGUUUCAUUUUGGGCUUAUUUGAUACGUUUCAUUGAGUUCUCUAUCUGUUUAAUUCCACAUAAGUGAACAAAGACUUGACUUCCUAGUAGACUUCAUUUCUCACCAUUCAAAUUUUUCUAUCUCUUCCCUCAUUUUUCCACUUGAAGAUUGAUCCACAUAUGCAGCAGCUCUUUAUAAACUGCCCAAACUCCAUGCUUCAUAUACAACACAUCUUACCCUGAGACUUUAGCCCCAUUCCCAUUUCCCCUUUUGCUCAUGGCUUCCUCAUUCAUCACUUGGUUCAUAUCUUCAUUUUCAUUCAUACCUUUUCUUCUCCUUUUGAUGGGCAGCGACCAUGUUCUUUUGGUCGCUGGCCGAUGCCGAGAAGACCAACAAUCCCUACUCCUACAGCUCAAACAUGGCCUCAAUUUAAGCUAUCCAUCAUUUUCAAGGGUGAUAUCAUGCCGAGAAGACCAACAAUCCCUACUCCUACAGCUCAAACAUGGCCUCAAUUUAAGCUAUCCAUCAUUUUCAAGGGUGAUAUCAUGCCGAGAAGACCAACAAUCCCUACUCCUACAGCUCAAACAUGGCCUCAAUUUAAGCUAUCCAUCAUUUUCAAGGGUGAUAUCAUGCCGAGAAGACCAACAAUCCCUACUCCUACAGCUCAAACAUGGCCUCAAUUUAAGCUAUCCAUCAUUUUCAAGGGUGAUAUCAUGCCGAGAAGACCAACAAUCCCUACUCCUACAGCUCAAACAUGGCCUCAAUUUAAGCUAUCCAUCAUUUUCAAGGGUGAUAUCAUGCCGAGAAGACCAACAAUCCCUACUCUUACAAUUCAAACAUUGUCUCAACUUAAGCAAAAGUAUAGGCUCAGAAAAUCGACUGGUUGAGUGGAAUUCGAGCACGGAUUGCUGUGAGUGGCCUGGUAUAAAAUGUGAUCUCAAUGGCCUUGGUCGUGUUGUUGGACUCAACUUGAGCUUUGAACAGAUAAUUGUACGAGGUGGAAUCGACGAUUCUUCGGCUCUGUUUAGUCUUGGAUAUCUCGAGGAAUUGGAUCUGUCCGACAACUUCUUCAACACAACUAUUCCAGGUGCACUUGGCAACCUCAUCAAUUUGAGGUAUCUACACUUAUCCGAUGCUGGUUUCUAUGGUCAAAUUCCAACUGCCAUCUCUCAGCUGACAAGCUUGGUUAGUCUUGAUUUGUCAUAUCAAAAUCUAAAGAUUGAGAGUACAAAUCUGGCGCUACUUGUUCAGAAUCUCACAAAAUUAACCAAGCUUCGACUUGAUGGCGUGGACUUAUCCACUCAAGGGAAGGAGUGGUUCCAUGUCUUAUCUUCUUCACUACCAAAUCUCAGAGAGUUGAGCUUGAGCAAAUGCAACCUUUCAGCCCCUAUGGAUGCUCCCUCCCUUUCAAAACUUCAGUCUCUCACGGACCUUUACCUUGAUCACAACAAUUUCUCCUCUUUAAUCCCCGAUAUCAUCCAAGAUUUAAAAAACUUGACAGCCUUGAGAAUGUCAAAUUGUGGGCUUAGAGGAACAUUCCCAAAAAAGAUAGUCCAAAACCUGACUCAACUAGAGUAUUUGGAUUUCUCACAUAACCAAUUGGUGGGUAAUAUACCAUAUGCUCACUGGGAAAAUAUUCACAACCUUGUCCAAGUAGACCUUAGAGACAAUUUUUUCAACGGGACCAUCCCACCAUCUUUAUUUUCCAUUCCAUCUUUGAAAAAUAUUGAUCUCUCCAAUAACCAGGUUCAAGGUCAAAUUCCAGAGUUUUCAGCUAAUACUUCUUCGACUCUGAAUUCUAUAUUCUUGAAUAACAAUUUUCUCAACGGAAGCAUCCCACCAUCUUUAUUUUCCAUUCCAUCUUUGAAAUAUAUUGAUCUCUCCAAUAACCAACUAGUAGGUCCCAUCCCCCCUUCAAUUUUCGAACUUUCAUCACUUCAUUCCCUCUUCCUUUCAUCUAAUAGAUUGAGUGGCAAGGUCCAGUUAAGUUGGUUUCAAACACUCCAAAAUCUCACUUCCCUUGAUCUUUCCUACAACAACCUAACAGUUGAUGCAAAUAUCAAUAAAUCCUCUACGAGCUCGCCCGUCUUUCCUCAAUUAAGACAAUUGCAUCUUCCAUCGUGCAAUCUUAGAACAAUUCCCGAGUUGGGCAACCAACUAAGUCUUUCCAACCUAGACCUUUCUGACAACAAUAUCAAUGGGGUAAUACCUCGUUGGAUUAUGGAUUCAACUACUUUAAUAUCCCUCAAUCUUUCACACAACAAC
rnacentral:lncRNA from 1 species